CUGCGCCGACCGGCUGGGCCUGGCACCCGCGGGCGGCCCCAGCCUCAGUCUCCAGCUACCUUUGCCUCCUGCGGCCGCCCCCAGGCAGAGCUGCGAUCCCACCGCCGGGGGUGCAGGGAGAGGGAAGAUCUGGCCUCCUUGGUCCUUUUGCGUGGGCUCUUCAGAGCGUGAGCGCCGGGGAGGGACUCCGGAGAAAAGCUUGGGGGGCUGCGUAUUGCUGCUCCCCAAGCUGGGCGUCAGGACCAACCCCGCCGCCCCCACGGGCCUGACGGGAGAGGAGGAAGGGCUCGGGACGGUCGGCUCGCCGAGCCAACCAGGUGGCGCCUGAAGAGCUGUCCAUGGUGUCGACAGCCCAGCAAACGGCACCGAGUUCCUAGUCUGAGUGUCUGGAUAGGUAGCAGAAGAAAAACUAAUGCCUGCUCUGGGACAGUUCUGUUCGGUGCCUUUUCUUGUGUGUUCUGGAGCUCACAGGGUUCUAUCGAAGAGUGCUUAGGUGUAUACGAUGGAGAGUGGGACGUCACAAACCAGGAUCUCAAGGCUGAGUCCAACAAAACAUGGCCGUAGGGAGGCCACGACAGCUGUGGUUGUCACCGACGGAUGAAUAGCUUUUGCCAACCGUGGAAUUUAGUAACUAAAGGCACCUAACCCUUUUAUCUCAUCCUCAUUUUUCAACAAAUGGUGCUUCCUGGCUAAUAUCAGCGUGUCCCAUAGAUUUCUGCUUCCAUUGAAUAGACCUAAUAAGAAAGAGAAUGAAGUCAAAGCCAACAGGGCAGAAAGAAAUUGAAAACCUGAAGAACCCAGCACUCAAACUGUCUCCACUUGCGUUUGCUUUUUCUUUACCUCUUCUCCUUCUGGUUUUCAACAGCCAAAGCAGGAUUUAAAUUUGGUUAUGUUGCAAAAAUCAUUUCCCUCUUCAGGCCCUGUCAUGUGACUUGAUUUUUUCGUCCAUUUUAGAGAAGCUGUACCCACCCUGGUUUCAGGACACGGAACUAAAUUUAUUAGAAAAGAAGCCACUUCAAGUCAUGAAGGAGAAACACAAAGAUUCUUGGAUUUAGUUCUAAGAACUAGAGGGGAUUUCUAUGUCAGUACUGUCUCAGAAAAAACUGUUGAUAUCAAAUGUGUUGCUUGAGAAGUACCUUUUUUUUUUUGAGACGGAGUCUCGCUCUGUCCGCCCAGGCUAGAGUGCAGUGGCGCGAUCUCGGCUCACUGCAAGCUCCGCCUCCCGGGUUCACGCCGUUCUCCUGCCUCAGCCUCCCGAGUAGCUGGGAUUACAGGUGCCCACCACCACGCCCGGCUAAUUUUUGUAUUUUUAGUAGAGACAGGGUUUCACCGUGUUAGCCAGGAUGGUCUCGAUCUCCUGACCUCGUGAUCCACCCGCCUCGGCCUCCCAAAGUGCUGGGAUAACAGGCGUGAGCCAUCGCGCCCGGCCGAGAGGUACCUUUUAUGACAACUGAAAUCAUUCAGUUUCAAGAGGAGUUGGGUACUGAAACCAAACUUGCUUACUCCAAAGCCCAAAAUCCUUUCCACCAUGCCUGUGUGUCUGUAAGGCUACACUAGAAAUGCUUCCUUUCUUAUAGUGGGAAGCAUGGGUACUAAGCUCUUUUACGAACAAGUGUUCUGCAUAUUCCUGGUUCCUUUUUAUUUUGGACUGAGGAGAUUUAGGUCAAAAUUUCUGGGUUCUGGGUUGGAAUUCCAGCUUCUUUCUUCAAAUUAAACUGGGGGGUAGCAAGACUUAUUCCUAGAUUUGUUAGAAGGCCACAGCUUUUCCACAUCUCAUUUUAGUCAUGAAAAAGACACAUGCCCAGAGUUUGAAAAACAUAAAGGCAAUUUGACUAGUGGCUUGAUUGGUUCUAUCUUCUUUUUCUUGUCCCUCUUUCCUAUUUAUACUUCUACUUUUGUUACAGCAUUUGACAAUAGUUGGAAAAAUUUUCACUGACCUUGAAAUGUCUUUGGGAUAGGGUGACUUAAAAUAUAGGUUAAGUGGCAUACACAAACUUCUUAGUGAGAUCCUAAGGGCCUACAGAGACAGGCUGACACCAACUCAACCCUUGAAACUGUGCAAUGAAGAGCCUGUGGGAGGCUAAAAAACGCUACUUCAAAAAGAGAUCCUUGUCUGUGAAUGUUAAUUUAGGUUUACAGAUUUGAUUAAGGGUCUUGAGAUUAUUUUCAAUUAUCCAGGUGGGCCCUAGAGCCCUAGAUGCAAUCAUAAGUGUCCUUAUAACAGGGAGGCAGAGGAAAAUUAAACACGCACACAGGAGAGAGAGAGAGAGAAAAAAAAGUGAUGUGAAGACAGCAGCAGAGAUUGGAGCGAUGUGGCCAUAGCCAAGCUAUGUCAGCAGCCAUCAGAAGUUGGAAGAGGCAAGGAAGGAUUUGAGCCUAGAGCCUUUGGAAGGAGCAUGGCCCUGUUGGUUCUGGCCUCCAGAACUGCAAGAAAAUACAUUUUUGUUGUUUUAAACCACCCAGUUCAUGGUAAUUUGUAACACCAGCUACAAGAAAUUAACACAAGGCUGAUGUGACUUUCCAUCAGGAGAGAGACAGCCCCAGAGACCAACUGAAGAGAGAUCAAGUGAAGGGGGUUUAUUUUAAUGAAACACAAAGAUUCUUGUGGAAAUCAAAGUGCCGGAGCCAGAAACAGGGCUCAACCUUCAAGAUUAGAGCUGUAUUCAAGUUGUUCAAGUUGGCUCUCGGUCCCAAAGCAACAGCAAUGUCACUAAGGUUACAAGUAAAAGGUAAGCUUUCAUGAUCAAAAUGUUUUUGCAAAGUAGCUUAAAAUGGUUUCUGCAGUGUUUUGUCAAAACUUUUCUCAUACAUUUUCCUAAAGAUAUUUAGCAAGAGCCUAAGAAGUCAUGUGCUAGGGAUUUUCAUUGUACUGAAUGAUUGUAUCCUUUAAGCCGCUGCUGGAGUUAGGACUGACAGGAACGCAGUACAAAUUACUGGGGGCUAGAGUCCCAAAGCAGGCCAGGGACCAGUCUACAUUGCAUGUCGAUACCAAUCCCAUAUAACAAUAUUCAGCCUGUGUUUGGGCAGUCUGAGGCAGCUUUUAGCAGCUGUGAACCCAGUAUCCAUGGACAGUUUCAUUUCUGGAGGGCAGUCUUCAAAACGUUUAUGAAAGUACACCUCCCAUUCAGAUAUGUUUUUUUCUUCCUACAUGUAGUGCUAGUGUUUUUCUCAUUUUCAUUUACUUGAAACAACAGAUCAAAUGUUUUGUCAUAAUCAGUGAAUGGCAAGACUCCCUUUAUUACAUGGGUAUUACCAUGUUAGAGAUAAGAAGAGCUCUUGUAACCAUUAACAACCACUACAAUGUAGCAACUUACAGUUUCCUAUUUUAUAUUGCAGCUCUGUAACAUUUGACUACUUUUGUAAGAGUUUCAUGAUUUCAAGGAUGAUUAUUAGCAUUUUCAAUUUUUUGGCCAAUUCUGGGUGCUGGUAAUGUUACCACUGCAGGCAACUAUGGCUCUACUCAACUGAAGACCUCUUAUAGGCAAUGUGGACCAUACCUGCUUUCCUGAGAGAUCAGCAAAUUGGGUUUGGUCAUCAGGAAAUUCUGUCUCUCAGAUCUCAUACUAGCAAGGAGACCCCUGGUUGUACCUGUCAGAGCUGCCAGUUGGCCCUGCUGAAACUUUAGAACUGCACCAAUGUCUAAGACUUUCAUCCUCCUUCCUUCACACAGGUGAGACCUGCCUGCCUCAUUGUCUGACAGCUUUCCCAGCCUCCUCCAGGCUCCCCUCCGUUUUCUCUUAUACGCAUUCCCCCAAUAAACUUCCUGUACAUUUAAUACCAUCUCAGUGUCUGCUCCCAGGAGGACCCUAACUGACACACUGGGGCAUUUAGCCUCCAAUUCCUUUUCUCCCUUGGCUGAGAUCUGUUCCAGGAAGUAUCUCCAGGACACUCCAGCCUGUUGCACAGGCCAAAGAAAAGCCCUCAGGCAGAGGAGCAAAUACUUGCAAGAGGACACCAGUGGCAAGAACAGGGACAUGCCACCCUGUGAAGACGUGCCUUUCGUCAAGAUUGUAAGUUUCCUGAGGCCUUCCCACCCAUGCGGAACUGUGAGUCAAUUAAACCUCUUUAUAAAUUACCUAGUCUCAAGUAUGUCCCUAUAACAGCGUGAGAAUGAACUAAUACAAAUAUGUAGGGAUAAGAUAAAAUUAACAGAGCAAAUACAGUGCAUGACACUGUUCUGCAUAUUAUGUCCUGAUCAAGGGUACACAUGGGCCUGCUCACAGUCCCACUUUAUUAGAGUCAUUUGAAAUGCUGCAAAUUUAGUCGUCAGGAAAAUA
rnacentral:lncRNA from 10 species